GUGAACGCUGGCGGUAGGCCUAACACAUGCAAGUCGAACGGCAGCACAGUAAGAGCUUGCUCUUACGGGUGGCGAGUGGCGGACGGGUGAGGAAUACAUCGGAAUCUACUUUUUCGUGGGGGAUAACGUAGGGAAACUUACGCUAAUACCGCAUACGACCUACGGGUGAAAGUAGGGGAUCUUCGGACCUUGCGCGAUUGAAUGAGCCGAUGUCGGAUUAGCUAGUUGGCGGGGUAAAGGCCCACCAAGGCGACGAUCCGUAGCUGGUCUGAGAGGAUGAUCAGCCACACUGGAACUGAGACACGGUCCAGACUCCUACGGGAGGCAGCAGUGGGGAAUAUUGGACAAAGGGCGCAAGCCUGAUCCAGCCAUACCGCGUGGGUGAAGAAGGCCUUCGGGUUGUAAAGCCCUUUUGUUGGGAAAGAAAAGCAGCAGGUUAAUACCCCGCUGUUCUGACGGUACCCAAAGAAUAAGCACCGGCUAACUUCGUG
rnacentral:rRNA from 1 species